rnacentral:rRNA from 1 species
GACGAACGCUGGCGGCGUGCUUAACACAUGCAAGUCGAACGGAAAGGCCCUUCGGGGUACUCGAGCGGCGAACGGGUGAGUAACACGUGAGUAACCUGCCCCAGACUUUGGGAUAACCUUCGGAAACGGAGGCUAAUACCGAAUAUGACAAGCCAUCGCAUGGUGUGUUUGUGGAAAGUUUUUCGGUCUGGGAUGGACUCGCGGCCUAUCAGCUUGUUGGUGGGGUAAUGGCCUACCAAGGCGACGACGGGUAGCCGGCCUGAGAGGGCGACCGGCCACACUGGGACUGAGACACGGCCCAGACUCCUACGGGAGGCAGCAGUGGGGAAUAUUGCACAAUGGGCGGAAGCCUGAUGCAGCGACGCCGCGUGAGGGGUGACGGCCUUCGGGUUGUAAACCUCUUUCAGCAGGGACGAAGCGCAAGUGACGGUACCUGCAGAAGAAGCGCCGGCCAACUACGUGCCAGCAGCCGCAGUAAAAC